UAUAUACUCCCUCCGUCCGGAAAUACUUGUCAUCAAAAUGGAUAAAAGGUGAUGCAUCUAGAUAUAUUUUAGUUCUAGAUAUAUCUUUUUUUUAUCCAUUUUGAUGACAAGUAUUUUCAGACGGAGGGAGUAGAUA
rfam:Triticum aestivum genome assembly, contig: Triticum_aestivum_CS42_TGACv1_scaffold_328739_4BS